rnacentral:ncRNA from 1 species
CAGCAUCGGUUGCCGACAUCAAAGGGGCCAUCUUGGCCCCUUUUUCGUACGCGAUGGUGUGUAGCCGUGCGGCUCGUGAAGGAAUUUCGCCACGCUACUGGUCUUUUGCUCGAAGCAUUUCCGGCAGUUUGCUGCCCAAGGAACCGCAUCGCCGCCAAUCUCGCACUUGCACAAACUUAUAUUGCACUGCAGUAUGGGUCGGGGCGGGAAUGCGAGCCGGGUUCGGAUGUGUACCGCCGUGCCCUUUCGCAUGCCAAUGCGAAGGAUCGGC